GAUGAACGCUGGCGGCGUGCCUAAUACAUGCAAGUCGAGCGAACGGACGAGAAGCUUGCUUCUCUGAUGUUAGCGGCGGACGGGUGAGUAACACGUGGAUAACCUACCUAUAAGACUGGGAUAACUUCGGGAAACCGGAGCUACUACCGGAUGAUAUUUUGAACCGCAUGGUUCAAAAGUGAAAGACGGUCUUGCUGUCACUUAUAGAUGGAUCCGCGCUGCAUUAGCUAGUUGGUAAGGUAACGGCUUGCCAAGGCAACGAUGCAUAGCCGACCUGAGAGGAUGAUCGGCCACACUGGAACUGAGACACGGUCCAGACUCCUACGGGAGGCAGCAGUGGGGAAUCUUCCGCAAUGGGCGAAAGCCUGACGGAGCAACGCCGCGUGAGUGAUGAAGGUCUUCGGAUCGUAAAACUCUGUUAUUAGGGAAGAACAUAUGUGUAAGUAACUGUGCACAUCUUGACGGUACCUAAUCAGAAAGCCACGGCUAACUACGUG
rnacentral:rRNA from 1 species